rnacentral:pre_miRNA from 1 species
CAUAUUUCAGAAAUGGCAUCAAGUAAUUUUCACAACUGAUGUCAUUUUUGAAGUAUGCA